UUCCCCUCCAUCUUCCGACCCGUUUUCUCCCGCUUCCCCGCGCCGUCAUGCACAAGUACUGUUUCUCAUUUAUUUGCGUUUCCUGGUCCCUGUGGCGUCCCCCGUGGCCGUGCCCUUGUGUCCGCGUGGCUGAACAUACCUGGCGCCUCCUGGUCCCUUGGGAGUCCUCCAUGCGCCCUGCAAAUAAGGUAAACACGAGUGGUAGAGACGCAAUCUGUGGCGCAUCUCUUUGUAAACAGGCGAGGCGGAGACAAUGACCUGGCGUAGAGAAUAAAGUGUUUUGAUUAUUCGAUUUUUGUUUUCUUUUGAUUUGAUUUUUUUUUCACAUUGGUGGCCAAGAUGAGUAGAGAAUAAUGUGUUGCUUUGAUUUUUCCUUUCUUAAAACUCAGACUUUAACAGAAUGUCAUCACGUAUCUGACAUUUUAUUGGCUAAACAUUUAUAGUACUUUCCUGUUUAAAUGUUUUUUUUUUCCAUGUUCCUGUGAUAUGAAUAUUUAAAAAGCACAGCAGUCAAGUCUAUAUCAUAAAAGUUUA